AUGAACGCUGGCGGCAUGCCUAACACAUGCAAGUCGAUCGGUAAGGCUCUUCGGAGUACACGAGAGGCGGACGGCUGAGUAACGCGUAGGAACACACCCUGCAGUGAGGGAUAAGACACCGAAAGGUGUUCUAAUACCGCAUACGGUCUUCGGAUUAAAGCAUUUAUGCGCUGAAGGAGUGGCCUGCGUCAUAUUAGAUAGUUGGUGAGGUAAUGGCUCACCAAGUCGAUGAUGUGUAGCUGGUCUGAGAGGAUGAUCAGCCAGACUGGAACUGAGACACGGUCCAGACUCCUACGGGAGGCAGCAGUGAGGAAUAUUUCACAAUGAGCGAAAGCGUGAUGGAGCAAUGCCGCGUGCAGGAUGAAGGCCCUCGGGUUGUAAACUGCUUUUAUAAGAGAAGAUUAUGACGGUAACUUAUGAAUAAGGGACGGCUAACUACGUG
rnacentral:rRNA from 1 species